GUGAUGUCGUCGGCUACUACAAUGGCGUCAUGCCUGGAAUCAUUCUGCGAGACUUUGAAUUGAUGAAACGCAUCUUCAUCCAUGACUUCCAGUAUUUCACAGGACGACAGGUCGCGGCGUCCGUGUCGAAAAGCCUUCCCAUCAAUGAAGUCCGAAUUAGCAGAGUGGCUGGCGACGAUUGGCGACACUUGAAGAAAAUCAUGCUCCCAGCCUUCAAGGCGAACAACAUAA
rnacentral:lncRNA from 1 species